rnacentral:tRNA from 1 species
UGUAGCACAGUGGUAGAGCACUUGCUUGAUAUGCAUGAGACCCUGGGUUCAAUUCCAAUGCUAA